GUCCUGCAAUGUAGUCUAAACAUGCAGAACGAAGAUCUCACAAUGGGGUAGAAAACUAGUGAUUUGAAGUCAGGAGACUGAAGUUCAUAUUAAAGUUUUCACACCCAUACUGUCUUCUCUAGAGGACAGUGAUGCCGUUUCUGAAGUGGUGAACUUGGCUUUGGAAAACCUUAACAACAGGGAGAGCAUCCUUCAGGAAGACCUGACUAUCACUCAUCCCACCCCUCUUCCUGACCCAGCCUGCAUCAGGACCUCUUCUUCCAGGCCCCACGCCAUCUAAUGCUUGUCAUCUUUAUCACAACCACCAAAUAUUCUGGGUACCCCAAAUGUCAUCAAGAUGGUGAUUAAUCUCACCCGAAUAAAAAAAAUGCUUGAAGUUU